UCGCUAUCGCUAUUCUCUCACAUUGUGUCUUGGGCUUAAUAUUCUUUUUGUAAUAACGCCCAUCAAAACGACUCCAUUACGUACGACGAUCCGUUCCGGGACAAAUCUGUGCACGAUUCAAGGAUCCGAGAAUCCAUAGGUUUAAGUAUCCGAAAAGUUGAAUAAGAAUUUAAAGAAAUUAAAAAUCCGUGGAUCUCCCUCCCCCCCCUCCUCUCUCUCUCUCUCUCUCUCUCUCUCUCUCUCUCUGUCCAGUCAAGGAGUCGACAAUAUUAGAAUCGAAAUCGAUUAUUCUGAAAUCCGAGACUGUAAAGAUGUAAAAGUCCACGAAUCCAUCGAUAUUAAGCGUGCAAUGAUCCAACACCGUUUUGUGAUACUUAAAAAAUUCACGUUAGCGUAGUAAUCUAUGAUCUAGAAACUAAGGAUCGUGGAUAGGACGCGAUUGAGAAGAAUUUUAUUUAAGAUUUAGAAGGAUUGAAAGCUAUUAAAAAUUCAGUAAUCGGAAACAAAUCAGUUCUAAGAAAUCAAAAACGUUUUUGGAGAAUUUAAGUAUAUAGGAUUGA